AUUGAACGCUGGCGGCAUGAUUUACACAUGCAAGUCGAACGGUAACAGGCCGCAAGGUGCUGACGAGUGGCGAACGGGUGCGUAAUGCAUCGGAACGUGCCCAGUCGUGGUGGAUAACUACUCGAAAGAGUAGCUAAUACCGCAUACGAUCUAUGGAUGAAAGCGGGGGACCGUAAGGCCUCGCGCGAUUGGAGCGGCCGAUGUCAGAUUAGGUAGUUGGCGGGGUAAAGGCUCACCAAGCCAACGAUCUGUAGCUGGUCUGAGAGGACGACCAGCCACACUGGGACUGAGACACGGCCCAGACUCCUACGGGAGGCAGCAGUGGGGAAUUUUGGACAAUGGGCGCAAGCCUGAUCCAGCAAUGCCGCGUGCAGGAAGAAGGCCUUCGGGUUGUAAAAUGCUUUUGUACGGAACGAAACGGCUCUGGUUAAUACCCGGGGCUAAUGACGGUACCGUAAGAAUAAGCACCGGCUAACUACGUG
rnacentral:rRNA from 1 species